rnacentral:rRNA from 1 species
UACGUAGGCAGCAAGCGUUGUUCGGAAUUACUGGGCGUAAAGAGUGUGUAGGCGGUGCUCUAAGUCUGUUGUGAAAUCUCCCGGCUUAACCGGGAGGGUGCGGCGGAAACUGGAGUGCUUGAGGGUGGGAGAGGUAAGCGGAAUUCCUGGUGUAGCGGUGAAAUGCGUAGAUAUCAGGAGGAACACCUGUGGUGUAGACAGCUUACUGGACCACUUCUGACGCUGAGACACGAAAGCGUGGGUAGCAAGCAGG